UACGAAGGGGGCUAGCGUUGCUCGGAAUCACUGGGCGUAAAGGGUGCGUAGGCGGAACGUCUUAAGUCAGGGUGAAAGCCUGAGGCUCAACCUCAGAACUGCCUUUGAUACUGAGAGUCUCGAGACCGGAAGAGGUAAGUGGAACUGCGAGUGAGAGGUGAAAUUCGUAGAUAUUCGCAAGAACACCAGUGGCGAAGGCGGCUUACUGGUCCGGUUCUGGACGCUGAGGCACGGAAAGCGUGGGGAGCAAACAGG
rnacentral:rRNA from 1 species